rnacentral:rRNA from 1 species
UAAUGGCAGGUCAGCAUACUGCCGUGAAUACGUUCCCGGGCCUUGUACACACCGCCCGUCACACCAUGAGAGUUGGGAAUACCCGAAGCCUGUGAGCUAACUUAUAGAGGCAGCAGUCGAAGGUAGAAUCAAUGAUUGGGGUGAAGUCGUAACAAGGUAUC